UGAAGUGCUUGGUGAACCAAGAAGAAUGGCUUCUAAGAAGGUCUUGUAUUUCUGGGUGGUUCUCUUCAUCGUCAUGCUAUUGCUUCAGGCCUCUAUAACUGCAUCAAGACAUCUGCAGGAGGACGCAAAGACUCCUGUGACAGAGGAGAAGGCAAGGAUGCUAGAUGAACCUCAUGGAGGCAAUUAUGGUCCACAUAACUGAUUGGCUAAAUUGUAUUUGACUAUUUGUAGGAGAAAAUAUUCUAAUAUUCAUCUAGUGUAAUAUGGUAGACGAGGACGAGUGGCGUUUCUCUGCUUCUGAACUGCCUGGUUCUCAUUAUUUUUCAUAUGCAUUUCUCAGUUGUAUCAAUUUAAUUUAAUGCAUGUAAUUUUCGUGA